rnacentral:rRNA from 1 species
GAUGUGAAAUCCCCGGGCUUAACCCUGGGAACUGCAUUUGAAACUGGCAGGCUUGAGUCUUGUAGAGGGGGGUAGAUUUCCAGGUGUAGCGGUGAAAUGCGUAGAGAUCUGGAGGAAUACCGGUGGCGAAGGCGGCCCCCUGGACAAAGACUGACGCUCAGGUGCGAAAGCUUGGGGAGCAAACAGGAUUAGAUACCCUGGUAUGUCCACGCCGUAAACGAUGUCGAUCUUGGAGGUUGUUCCCUUGAGGAGUGGCUUCCGGAAGCUAACCGCGUUAAGUACGACCGCCUGGGGAGUACGGCCGCAAGGUUAAAACUCAAAUGAAUUGACGGGGGCCCGCACAAGCGGUGGAGCAUGUGGUUUAAUUCGAUGCAACGCGAAGAACCUUACCUACUCUUGACAUCCAGCGAACUUAGCAGAGAUGCUUUGGUGCCUUCGGGAACGCUGAGACAGGUGCUGCAUGGCUGUCGUCAGCUCGUGUUGUGAAAUGUUGGGUUAAGUCCCGCAACGAGCGCAACCCUUAUCCUUUGUUGCCAGCGAUUCGGUCGGGAACUCAAAGGAGACUGCCGGUGAUAAACCGGAGGAAGGUGGGGAUGACGUCAAGUCAUCAUGGCCCUUACGAGUAGGGCUACACACGUGCUACAAUGGCGCAUACAAAGAGAAGCGACCUCGCGAGAGCAAGCGGACCUCACAAAGUGCGUCGUAGUCCGGAUCGGAGUCUGCAACUCGACUCCGUGAAGUCGGAAUCGCUAGUAAUCGUGGAUCAGAAUGCCACCGGUGAAUACGUUCCCGGGCCUUGUACACACCGCCCGUCACAUCCAUGGGAGGUGGGUUGCAAAAGAAGUAGGUAGCUUAACCUUCGGGA